rnacentral:rRNA from 1 species
AGUGAACGCUGGCGGUAGGCCUAACACAUGCAAGUCGAACGGCAGCACAGUAAGGGCUUGCUCUUACGGGUGGCGAGUGGCGGACGGGUGAGGAAUACAGCGGAAUCUACUUUUUCGUGGGGGAUAACGUAGGGAAACUUACGCUAAUACCGCAUACGACCUACGGGUGAAAGCAGGGGAUCUUCGGACCUUGCGCGAUUGAAUGAGCCGAUGUCGGAUUAGCUAGUUGGCGGGGUAAAGGCCCACCAAGGCGACGAUCCGUAGAGGGUCUGAGAGGAUGAUCAGCCACACUAGAACUGCGACACGGUCCAGACUCCUACGGGAGGCAGCAGUGGGGAAUAUUGGACAAUGGGCGAAAGCCUGCACCAGCCAUACCGCGUGCGUGAAGAAGGCCUUCGGGUUGUAAAGCCCUUUUGUUGGGAAAGAAAAGCAGCAGGUUAAUACCCCGCUGUGCUGGCGGUCCCCAAAGAAUAAGCACCGGCUAACUUCGUG